GAUGAACGCUGGCGGCGUGCCUAAUACAUGCAAGUCGAGCGAACAGAUGAGGAGCUUGCUCCUCUGACGUUAGCGGCGGACGGGUGAGUAACACGUGGAUAACCUACCUAUAAGACUGGGAUAACUUCGGGAAACCGGAGCUAAUACCGGAUAAUAUAUUGAACCGCAUGGUUCAAUCGUGAAAGAAGGUUUUGCUGUCACUUAUAGAUGGAUCCGCGCCGCAUUAGCUAGUUGGUAAGGUAACGGCUUACCAAGGCAACGAUGCGUAGCCGACCUGAGAGGGUGAUCCGCCACACUGGAACUGAGACACGGUCCAGACUCCUACGGGAGGCAGCAGUAGGGAAUCUUCCGCAAUGGGCGAAAGCCGGACGGAGCAACGCCGCGUGAGUGAUGAAGGACUUCGGAUCGGAGAGCUCUGUUAGUAGGGAAGAACAAAUGUGUAAGUAACUAUGCACGUCUUGACGGUACCUAAUCAGAAAGCCACGGCUAACUACGUG
rnacentral:rRNA from 1 species